CAGCAGGCGCGAAAACUUUACAAUGCUGGCAACAGCGAUAAGGGGACCUCGAGUGCCAGGAUACAAUCUUGGCUGUCGUAAUGCCUAAAAAGCAUUGCAUAGCAAGGGCCGGGCAAGACCGGUGCCAGCCGCCGCGGUAACACCGGCGGCUCGAGUGGUAACCGCUAUUAUUGGGUCUAAAGGGUCUGUAGCCGGCCGGAUAAGUCUUUUGGGAAAUCUGGCAGCUUAACUGCCAGGCUUUCAGAAGAUACUGUUUCGGCUCGAGGCCGGGAGAGGUGAGAGGUACUUCAGGGGUAGGGGUGAAAUCUUGUAAUCCUUGAAGGACCACCAGUGGCGAAGGCGUCUCACCAGAACGGUCCUGACGGCAAGGGACGAAAGCUAGGGGCACGAACCGGAUUAGAUACCCGGGUAGUCCUAGCCGUAAACGAUACUCGCUAGGUGUCGGUCACGGUGCGACCGUGGUCGGUGCCGUAGGGAAGCCGUGAAGCGAGCCACCUGGGAAGUACGGCCGCAAGGCUGAAACUUAAAGGAAUUGGCGGGGGAGCACAA
rnacentral:rRNA from 1 species